rnacentral:tRNA from 1 species
CGGGGUGUAAAGCUCAGUGGUAGAGCAUUCGACUGCAGAUCGGGAGGUCUCCGGUUCAAACCCGGGUGUCCUGU